UUGUGCUAGAUGGGGAAUUAGCGGCUCCCUGUUACCCGGAAUCCGCUAUACCGGGGUUGAACUCCCGCUUGAGGGCUUGUUUUUAGUAAACUGUUGAUGUUAAGUGAUGUUGAGAGUCGGGUCCUGUACAACAAAAGCCUACGAACCCGGUCAGGACCGGAAGGUAGCAGCCGUAAGCAGAUCCUUUUGUGUGUUGCAGGGAUGCCCGAUUUGAGUUGGCUGGCAUCGAUACUUAUUAUAAGACGGUUCGAGAGUGGGUGCACAC
rnacentral:SRP_RNA from 1 species